GUGACCACUGUCACCCAGGGCACGUGUCCUCUAUGUCUACCUUCCAUGUGUGUAAUCGGACAAUGCUAGUGGACAGCGUGGGGUUGGGACCAGUCAGGGCUGAAGACUGGCCCUUUUUGCUUUAAUUGUGCUCUCUGGUCUCUGUGAACCUCAGUCCCUCCAUCUUUACUCCUCUUCUACUGGGACUUUCCCAGACAGCCUGGACUGCAAGUGGGUCUGCUUGGCAGGAACAGAUGAGCCGUUCAGUGCCUGCCAUCGAUGGAACAGUACAGCGCAGAUGGGGACAGACUGCAAACUCUGCAGUACGUUUUUGCUACCCUCUGCCACCGUGUCAUCCCUGCCAGACGCUCUCUCUCCAGGCUGUGCUAUGGGGAGGCCUCCCAGGGCCCUGCCUCAGUUUUCUCAGAGGUGCUAGACGCUUAAUAAAUGCCUGUACGUGACAACUGUGGAGCCAGGCACUGGGGUCCACUGAAGGGCAGUGAGAUGGAUGGACCUUGCAGUCACAAAGCCCAGAGCAGGACAGGUACCACGGAGGGCAGAGGCAUCUGUUCCCCUAGAGCUGGAGUCACAGCCGAUUGAGAGCUGCCCGAUAUGAGUGCUGGGAAUAGAACUCAGGGCCUCUGCAGGAGUUAAUACUUGCCCUAUCUGCUGAGCCAUCUUCCCAGCCCCAGGCUGGCUGACUUUUGAAUAAUAUUAGACCUGCUAAGACUGGAUAGAUGGAGAUGGACUGACUGUGUUUUUGCAUUAUGAGAUGACCCAGAGGUUCAAGAUGCUGUGUUUAAAGAGGGCCCUGGCUAAUAAGGGAUGGACUUGUAAUGGUUAAUUCUUCAUUGUCAACUUGAAUGGAUGCAGAAUCACUUGAA